rnacentral:rRNA from 1 species
UACGUAGGGGGCAAGCGUUGUCCGGAAUUAUUGGGCGUAAAGAGCGUGUAGGCGGUCCGGUAAGUCAGCUGUGAAAGUCAAGGGCUCAACCCUGGGAUGCCGGUGGAUACUGUCGGGCUCGAGUCCGGAAGAGGAGUGUGGAAUUCCUGGUGUAGCGGUGAAAUGCGCAGAUAUCAGGAGGAACACCAAUGGCGAAGGCAGCACUCUGGGACGUGACUGACGCUGAGACGCGAAAGCGUGGGGAGCGAACAGG